GGGGUGGAAGUGGCUGUGAUGGGGUAGGAGUGGGCGCCUAAGUGUUAAGAGCUGGUUAUGGGGUGGUAAUGCCCGCUUAUGGGGUGGUAAUACCCACUUAUGGGGUGUUCAUAGCCACUUAUGGGGUGUUCAUAGCCACUUAUGGGGUGUUCAUAGCCACCUAUGGGGUGUUAAUAGCUGCUUAUGGGGUGUUAACAGCCACCUAAGGGGUGUUAAUACUCAUCUAUGGGGCAGAGUUAUCCACCUAAGGGGUGUUAAUACCCAUCUAUGGGGCAGAGUUAUCUCCCUCAGGGGGUUUUAAUAGCCACCUAAGGGGUAUUAACACCCAUCUAUGGGGCAGAGUUACCCACCUAAGGGGUGUUAAUACCCAUCUAUGGGGCACAGUUACCCCCUUCAGGUUGUUAAUACCCACCUAAGGGGUGUUAACACCCAUCUGUGGGGCAGAGGUAUCCCCCUAAGGGCUGUUAAUACCCAUGUGUGGGGCAGAGUUACCCCCUUCAGGUUAUUAAUACCCACCUAGGGGAUGUUAACACCCAUCUAUGGGGCAGAGUUACCCCCCUCCGGGUGUAAAUACCCACUUAGGGGGCAGAAAUAUCCUCCUCGGGGUGGAAAGGGGCACCUAGGGGGUGUAAACACCCACCUAUGGGGCAGAAGUACCUGGUUAUGGGGCUGAAAUACCCUCCUCGUGGUUUAAAUACCCCCUUCAAGGGGUGUAAAUACUCACCUGUGGGGCAGAGUUACCCCCCCAGGGUGUAAAUACCCACUAAGGGGUGUAAAUAGCCCCCCCCAGGGUGUAAAUACCCACUAAGGGGUGUUAAAACCCACUUAGGGGGCAGAAAUACCCACUUCGGGUUGUAAAUACCCACCCAUGGGGCAGAAAUAGCCGGUUUUGGGGGGAAAAAAUACCCCCCCCGGGUGUAAAUACCCACUUAUGGGGCAGAAACCCCCACUUAGGGGGCACAAAUUCUAACUCUCCCCCUCCAGCAGCACAUAAGGGGUGUAAGCCCCCCCCCCGAGGUGUAAAUCUCUAUCUAUGGGGUGCAAGCCCCCCCCCCCCAGCCUCUAAACACCCACUUAUGGGGUGCAAAUACCAACUUGGGGGGGGCAGAACCCCCCUUCCCUAGGGUGCAACCCCCCACUUAUGGGGCACAGUUACUCACAGUGGGGGGGGUGUAAAUCCCCCAAUCCAGGGGGGCCGGCCCCCCCUGCGUGUACCCCCCCCCCCAUAGGUGCAGCGCCCCCCAUAGGAGGGUGGAACCACCCCAAUACACUAAAUACCCCCCCCAGGGGGGUAAAUACGCCCCCGAGGGGGGGGCAGAACGAGCCCCUUUGGGGGGUCAUUUCCCCUCCCCCCUCCUUGCGCUGCCGCCGACGGGGGGGGGGGGGGGAGGGGCUGCGCCGAUGGGGGGAGGGGCCGGGGGUGGGGGAGGGGCUGCGCCGGAAGCUGUUUUCUGUGAAAACAUGGGGUGGGGGAGGGGCGGCGCGGGGCCCCUCCCCCCUUUUGUAUAUUUUGUACAUGGAGAAUAAACCGAUGGUGGGAAAAAAA
rnacentral:lncRNA from 1 species